AUUGAACGCUGGCGGCAGGCCUAACACAUGCAAGUCGAACGAGCGGCGGACGGGUGAGUAAUGUCUGGGAAACUGCCUGAUGGCGGGGGAUAACUACUGGAAACGGUAGCUAAUACCGCAUACCAUCAGAUGUGCCCAGAUGGGAUUGGCUGGUUGGUGGGGUAACGGCUCACCAAGGCGACGAUCCCUAGCUGGUCUGAGAGGAUGACCCGCCACACGGGAAAUGAGGCACGGUCCAGAUUCCUACGGGAGGCAGCAGGGGGGAGUAUUGCACAAUGGGCGCAAGCCUGAUGCAGCCAUGCCGCGUGUAGGAAGAAGGCCUUCGGGUUGUAAAGUACUUUCAGCGGGGAGGCGUUACCCGCAGAAGAAGCACCGGCUAACUCCGUGCCAGCAGCCGCGGUAAUAC
rnacentral:rRNA from 1 species